UUAAGAUGUCAUCGUCAUUGUUGACCGUUCAUAAAAUCUCUACAAUUGUUUUGGAGUUUAUACGGAGAUUUUACGACAGUUAGUAGAGACAUUUGACAUCAAAUA
rnacentral:pre_miRNA from 2 species